GCUAACGUCCGUCGUGAAGAGGGAAACAACCCAGACCGCCAGCUAAGGUCCCAAAGUCAUGGUUAAGUGGGAAACGAUGUGGGAAGGCCCAGACAGCCAGGAUGUUGGCUUAGAAGCAGCCAUCAUUUAAAGAAAGCGUAAUAGCUCACUGGUCGAGUCGGCCUGCGCGGAAGAUGUAACGGGGCUAAACCAUGCACCGAAGCUGCGGCAGCGACGCUUAUGCGUUGUUGGGUAGGGGAGCGUUCUGUAAGCCUGUGAAGGUGUGCUGUGAGGCAUGCUGGAGGUAUCAGAAGUGCGAAUGCUGACAUAAGUAACGAUAAAGCGGGUGAAAAGCCCGCUCGCCGGAAGACCAAGGGUUCCUGUCCAACGUUAAUCGGGGCAGGGUGAGUCGACCCCUAAGGCGAGGCCGAAAGGCGUAGUCGAUGGGAAACAGGUUAAUAUUCCUGUACUUGGUGUUACUGCGAAGGGGGGACGGAGAAGGCUAUGUUGGCCGGGCGACGGUUGUCCCGGUUUAAGCGUGUAGGCUGGUUUUCCAGGCAAAUCCGGAAAAUCAAGGCUGAGGCGUGAUGACGAGGCACUACGGUGCUGAAGCAACAAAUGCCCUGCUUCCAGGAAAAGCCUCUAAGCAUCAGGUAACAUCAAAUCGUACCCCAAACCGACACAGGUGGUCAGGUAGAGAAUACCAAGGCGCUUGAGAGAACUCGGGUGAAGGAACUAGGCAAAAUGGUGCCGUAACUUCGGGAGAAGGCACGCUGAUAUGUAGGUGAAGUCCCUCGCGGAUGGAGCUGAAAUCAGUCGAAGAUACCAGCUGGCUGCAACUGUUUAUUAAAAACACAGCACUGUGCAAACACGAAAGUGGACGUAUACGGUGUGACGCCUGCCCGGUGCCGGAAGGUUAAUUGAUGGGGUCAGCGCAAGCGAAGCUCUUGAUCGAAGCCCCGGUAAACGGCGGCCGUAACUAUAACGGUCCUAAGGUAGCGAAAUUCCUUGUCGGGUAAGUUCCGACCUGCACGAAUGGCGUAAUGAUGGCCAGGCUGUCUCCACCCGAGACUCAGUGAAAUUGAACUCGCUGUGAAGAUGCAGUGUACCCGCGGCAAGACGGAAAGACCCCGUGAACCUUUACUAUAGCUUGACACUGAACAUUGAGCCUUGAUGUGUAGGAUAGGUGGGAGGCUUAGAAGUGUGGACGCCAGUCUGCAUGGAGCCGACCUUGAAAUACCACCCUUUAAUGUUUGAUGUUCUAACGUUGACCCGUAAUCCGGGUUGCGGACAGUGUCUGGUGGGUAGUUUGACUGGGGCGGUCUCCUCCUAAAGAGUAACGGAGGAGCACGAAGGUUGGCUAAUCCUGGUCGGACAUCAGGAGGUUAGUGCAAUGGCAUAAGCCAGCUUGACUGCGAGCGUGACGGCGCGAGCAGGUGCGAAAGCAGGUCAUAGUGAUCCGGUGGUUCUGAAUGGAAGGGCCAUCGCUCAACGGAUAAAAGGUACUCCGGGGAUAACAGGCUGAUACCGCCCAAGAGUUCAUAUCGACGGCGGUGUUUGGCACCUCGAUGUCGGCUCAUCACAUCCUGGGGCUGAAGUAGGUCCCAAGGGUAUGGCUGUUCGCCAUUUAAAGUGGUACGCGAGCUGGGUUUAGAACGUCGUGAGACAGUUCGGUCCCUAUCUGCCGUGGGCGCUGGAGAACUGAGGGGGGCUGCUCCUAGUACGAGAGGACCGGAGUGGACGCAUCACUGGUGUUCGGGUUGUCAUGCCAAUGGCACUGCCCGGUAGCUAAAUGCGGAAGAGAUAAGUGCUGAAAGCAUCUAAGCACGAAACUUGCCCCGAGAUGAGUUCUCCCUGACCCUUUAAGGGUCCUGAAGGAACGUUGAAGACGACGACGUUGAUAGGCCGGGUGUGUAAGCGCAGCGAUGCGUUGAGCUAACCGGUAC
rnacentral:rRNA from 1 species